UAAACGACUGGACGGCGUGCCUAAUACAUGCAAGUUGAACGGAGAGCUUCGGCUCUUAGUAGCGAACGGGUAGAGUAACGACGUAGGCGAACCUAGCCCUGUUGACUGGGAUAACAAGACGAAAGACUUGCUAAUACCGGAUGAUAACGUGUAUCGCAUGAUAUAUGGAUGAAAGUUGGGACACAACACAACAGGAUGGGCCUGCGGCGCAUUAGCUAGAUGGUGAGAUAGCAGCCCACCAUGGUAAUGAUGCGUAGCCGAUCUGAGAGGAUGUACGGCCACAUUGGAACUGAGACACGGUCCAGACUCCUACGGGAGGCAGCAGUAGGGAAUUUUCGGCAAUGGAGGGAACUCUGACCGAGCAACGCCGCGUGAACGAAAAGAAGGCCUUCGGGUCGUAAAGUUUUGUUGUUUAGGAUGAAAGAUGCCUGUAGGGAAUGACAGGCAAGUGACAGUACUAGACGAGGAAGUCACGGCUAACUACGUGCCAGCAGCCGC
rnacentral:rRNA from 1 species